ensembl:misc_RNA Metazoa_SRP Metazoan signal recognition particle RNA
GCUGGGUGUGGUGGUGCACACCUGUAGUCCCAGCUACUUGGGAGGCUGAGGCAGGAGAAUCGCUUGAACCCAGGAGGCAGAGGUUGCAGUGAGCCGAGAUCACGCCACUGCACUUCAGCCUGGGCAACAGAGCGAGACUCCGUCUCAA